rnacentral:lncRNA from 1 species
UGAAUGUUACAAUUUACAAAGUCGUCCCUUCUAUUUGCAUGGCUAGUUUGGCCAGAACACCUAAUAAAAAUAGUAAUCGCAUGUAGGAAGUUCGUAACUUUUCUUCCAAGUUCUAAAAAAUUGAUAAUAAAUUAUAUUUAACAAAAGGGUUGAUUAUAUAAAAUUACACAACUUUUGGGAGUCGUUUCAACUAGUACUCAAUCUUGAAAAUGUUUCAACUAGUACUCAAUCUUGAAAAUCUUGCACGUAGAUAUCAAACCUCAACAUAUUGACUAUUAGUUCAAUUAAUGGAUCCCCACCCCCUUCUCCCAAAACAUUUCUAAUUGAUUUUGGGGUGAAAACCUCAACUUCCUUCAAGAGUUCAACUCACAUAGAAAAUGUAGACUAAACUUUCCAAUAUGGGGUUCAUUCGGGUUAUGUUUUGCUUUGAUUUCUUUUUUUUUCUUUUUUUUUUUAAUUUAAAAUUUAUAAAUAAUCAAGUGAAGAGAUAGAGACAUACAUAUAGUAAUAUACUUUGGUGUGCCAAACAUUAACUGCUUGAAAGAACCCUAUCAUGGGAAGAACUUUCUAAUAUGGGGUUCAUUUGGGUUAUGUUUUGCUUUGAUUUCUUUUUUUCUUUUUCUUUUUUAAUAUAUAUAAAUAAUCAAGUGAAGAGAUAGAGAUAUACAUAUAGUAAUAUACUUUGGUGUGCCAAAUAUUAACCGGUUGAAAGAACCCUAUCAUGAGAUCUCUUCCCAGUUGCACAAGCAUAAUUUGAGCGCCGAUGAGGAGGUCACUGCCCCUUCUCCCUACUCCUUCCUUCACAUUUUGUGAGGUGUCUCAAGUCUCUCUUAUAGUAAAAGUCAUACAUGUCUUUUGUUAAAUUUCAUAAAGACAGACCAACAACUCACUAUUAACGACACUGAUAUUAUCUCCAACUUAAUCAC